UACGAAGGGGGCUAGCGUUGCUCGGAAUCACUGGGCGUAAAGCGCACGUAGGCGGAUUGUUAAGUCAGGGGUGAAAUCCUGGGAGCUCAACUCCAGAACUGCCUUUGAUACUGGCGAUCUUGAGUCCGGGAGAGGUGAGUGGAACUGCGAGUGUAGAGGUGAAAUUCGUAGAUAUUCGCAAGAACACCAGUGGCGAAGGCGGCUCACUGGCCCGGUAUGACGCUGAGGUGCGAAAGCGUGGGGAGCAAACAGGG
rnacentral:rRNA from 1 species